rnacentral:rRNA from 1 species
GACGAACGCUGGCGGCGUGCCUAAUACAUGCAAGUAGAACGCACAGGAUGCACCGUAGUUUACUACACCGUAUUCUGUGAGUUGCGAACGGGUGAGUAACGCGUAGGUAACCUGCCUGGUAGCGGGGGAUAACUAUUGGAAACGAUAGCUAAUACCGCAUAAGAACAUUUACUGCAUGGUAGAUGUUUAAAAGGUGCAAAUGCAUCACCACCAGAUGGACCUGCGUUGUAUUAGCUAGUAGGUGAGGUAACGGCUCACCUAGGCGACGAUACAUAGCCGACCUGAGAGGGUGAUCGGCCACACUGGGACUGAGACACGGCCCAGACUCCUACGGGAGGCAGCAGUAGGGAAUCUUCGGCAAUGGGGGGAACCCUGACCGAGCAACGCCGCGUGAGUGAAGAAGGUUUUCGGAUCGUAAAGCUCUGUUGUUAAGGAAGAACGAGUGUGAGAAUGGAAAGUUCAUACUGUGACGGUACUUAACCAGAAAGGGACGGCUAACUACGUGCCAGCAGCCGCGGUAAUACGUAGGUCCCGAGCGUUGUCCGGAUUUAUUGGGCGUAAAGCGAGCGCAGGCGGUUAGAUAAGUCUGAAGUUAAAGGCAGUGGCUCAACCAUUGUAGGCUUUGGAAACUGUUUAACUUGAGUGCAGAAGGGGAGAGUGGAAUUCCAUGUGUAGCGGUGAAAUGCGUAGAUAUAUGGAGGAACACCGGUGGCGAAAGCGGCUCUCUGGUCUGUAACUGACGCUGAGGCUCGAAAGCGUGGGGAGCGAACAGG